CACGUAGGCUGCCUGGUAAGUCAGGGGUGAAAUCCCACAGCUUAACUGUGGAACUGCCUUUGAUACUGCCAGGCUUGAGUGCCGGAGAGGGUGGCGGAAUUCCAGGUGUAGGAGUGAAAUCCGUAGAUAUCUGGAGGAACACCGGUGGCGAAGGCGGCCACCUGGACGGUAACUGACGCUGAGGUGCGAAAGCGUGGGUAGCAAACA
rnacentral:rRNA from 1 species